rnacentral:rRNA from 1 species
CCCAGCAGCCAUAUUACCCUGCAACUCACAACUGGCAACCCACUGAAGCUAGGCAUGUGUGAGCCUGGUCAGUACCUGGAUGGGAGACCUGCUGGGAAAAACUAAGGCUGCUGCUGGAA